UGCUACUUUCAUUUAUCAACAAUUGCGCGCGCGAUCUAUUUUCGGGCAGGCGUUGCUCCAAUACACCGCGAUUACCACAGUGAUGUUUGACUUCAGUUCACCGAUCAAACGACACAAGGAAGUCACGUCCGCGCGCCGUCUUCUAUUAGGCUUCGUGGACCAAUCACAGUGAGUCGUGACAGCCACACGCCACUCGUGUUUCCAUUACAGACUACGAAGCACAACAGCUUUAACAUGCAGCAUAGUUUUGUCACUGCUCCAACUUGGACAUUUCAGCCCACUUCUAACUUGAGCAAACACCUUGCGUACUGGAGUACCGGGAGUCAUGCUAGAUGCUGUACAACCCGAGAUGUGAUGAUGAUGAGCUCAAGUGCUGAAGCGGCGGCAUGGUGGACGACUGGUGAGAGCGUCUGCCUCGCACUUCUGAGGACCGUGUAUCAAAUCCCGGCCCCGCCUGUGUGGAGUUUCUCCAGACUACCUCAUUGUUCAUGGAGGAUGAUAAACAGAUGCUGCCAUUAUAAUUCUGCGGGGUGCAGAGUUCCACUUGAUGCCACAGUGA